rnacentral:lncRNA from 10 species
UCUCACCCUUCACUCUCUUCUCACUCUUGUCCCCACCCUCCAGCUCCCAGUCGAUGUGCACACAGAAGUUAGAGUGACCAGAAUCAUAACUACCACCUCCAAAAGUCCUGCAGUGGCUCCAACACACCACUUAGAGUAACAUCUGGCUUGCUGCAAUGGUCCCUGGCCUGCAUGAGUGAGUGCUUUUUCUUUCUCCCGAAUCUUAUCUCCAUCACUCUGUCUGCUGCUUACUCUGCUCCAGGUGCACUAGAAUGGUCUUUGUCCUCAAACCUCUCAAUCUCCUUUCAAGCCCUCUAGAGGAUGAUCCUUCUGCCUGUAAACUCUUCUUCAGAGAUGUGCUUACCUGGCUCCUCCUCCACAUUCAGGCCUUUGCUCACAUAUCAACUUCUCACAGAUAAAAUAUCUGAAAACUCUAUCCAAAACAGCUACCCUGGUCCAUCUAACUCAUUAGCCAGCUUUUUUUUUUUUUCUCUACAGCACGUAUAAUUACCCCAAAUAAUUUUAUAUAUUAGUUUCUCUAUUUACUGUUUCACACUCCCACUAGAAUGUAAGACCCGUAAGAACAGGAAACAUCUGUGUUUCUUCACCAGUGCAACCUGAGUACCUGACUUGGUGUGCAACACACAAUAAACACUAGUUCACUGCAUAACCAUACAGAAUUAACAAGACAUUGUCCCAGAUUGUAUAUGUGAGCUGAACAAAAAGUCAGGAACAAGGAGGAGUGAAGGAUGACUUGCUUCCCACUCUAAGUAAAAAUUCUUCUUGCAACUUCAGAGCCCAUUAACCUCAACUUGGACAUCACUAGUGUUGUUCAUGAGGAAGUUUUCUUACCAAGGCUUCUAAAUUUAUUGUUUUGCUAGGACAGAUAUAUUUUUUAAUGUUUUGAUCCAGAUUUGUAAAAAUGGAACAGAAGGAAAGUGUUUAAAAAUAUCCUGUAUAUCAUUCAAAAAUGAUGCCAUUAACAUUGGUACCCACUAAACACUUUCAAACUAUAGUUCAGAUCCUGGUACAAGGCUAAUUUUUCUUGUAUUUGCUUUGCAAGGCUAAGCAGCACCCUUUGGUUAAUUUUGAGGGUGUUUUGGCAUCUGUCACCUGAAGUGUGUGACUCACCCAGAUUCUGACUCAAUAGAUGGAAAAAGACUAACCUGCUCACAAGAUAUUCAUUUCAUGGGUGAGGAGUUCUGUGAAUUACCAUUUUACUCUACUCUCUAAUGCUCUGAACAUAUUUCACAAAGAGAUCCAUUUUGGCUUUCAUUUUCAUUUUCUCUUAGUUUUCUCUUAUUUUCCAGGACAUCUGACUCUACCUCCUUAAAAGUGAAGUGACUGUGAAAAUUGAUUGUACCUUCUUAUGUGACACUAAUUUUGACCAUCCCUUAUGGUUGAGAAUCUCAUGCAAUGCUUUGGAUGUUCCAUCAACAACAUGCCAAGUCCAUGAGGUUUCAUAGGCCGUGCUCUUGGGGAGUCAUCACAGCUCUGGGUUGUCCUACCAUCAACACCACCUGGCACCCACCUUGCCACCAGGGUUCAAACUCAGUUCAUUGAGAAAACUGUCUCAACCCCAAGAGUCAAAGUUUAGGUCAAUACUGAAACAAUCACUCAUGUUCUUGUUGGUGAAAUCUGUAGAAAUGGUAACUCAGGAGUGAAAUCAACCACAGCAACUCUCCAUUCAUGGUGAGGUGUGGGGUAUACAGUAGAGAAAAUCAAGGUGUUUGAGAUGAGUCAGGCUUUGGGGUGACUGAUGCUCA